rnacentral:misc_RNA from 1 species
AUUGAACGCUGGCGGGAUGCUUUACACAUGCAAGUCGAACGGCAGCACGGACUUCGGUCUGGUGGCGAGUGGCGAACGGGUGAGUAAUGCGUAUGGAACGUGCUAGUAGCGGGGGAUAACUACGCGAAAGCGUAGCUAAUACCACAUACGCCCUUCGGGGAAAGCGGGGGGACCUUCGGGCCUCGCACUAUGGAAGCGGCCGAUAUCGGAUUAGCUAGUUGGUGGGGUAACGGCUCGCAAAGGCGACGAUCCGUAGCUGGUUUGAAGGGACGACCAACCACACUGGGACUGAGACACGGCGGG